GCAGCGGCGUGUGGGUGGUAAGUAAGCUCUCCCUCCACUGCGCUUUCGGGCUGUCCACAGACCUCACCAAACCCCGCGGGGCUGGGAGGAGCCGCGCGCAAUCUGCUCUUGGUGAGCCCUGGGAGCUGGCUGUGCCCCUGUAGCAUCGGAUUCUACAAGACUAAGAACCUAGGCGGGAGGGAGAGAGAAGCCGUGCGCUUCCUGCAGCGCUGGAGUGUAGAAACUGCUUUUUUGUAACUGCAAUGCUGUCUCCUGGCUCUCCAGCCGUGGUCCACCUGGGACACGCUGGAGCUGAUCUUUCUCAAAUUAUUUCCCAAGUAAAAGUAUUUCCCAGUAAACACGUAGUGAUGGAAGUGCUGCGGUGGGGACCAGCGUUCGCAAAGUGCAGAAGACUCGGUUCCCCAAGUGAAGCUUGAAGACCUAGAAAGACCUGAGUCAGGUUUUCCACUGAGAUGUGAACCAGCUCCUGGGGGCCCCUGGGGUGCUGCCUUGUUGACCGCAGGCCUUUCAGAUCUUUGUGUACUGCUGAGACCUCUUGAUUCUAAGGCAUGGUGGUGUGCUCCCAGCUACUUGGAAGGCCACGGCAAGGAGAUCACUUAAGCCCAGGAGUUCAAGGCUGCAGUGAGCCAUGAUAGUGCCACUGUACUCCAGCCUAGGCAACAGAGCGCGAUCCUGUCUCAACAAAAGAACAUCUAUCUAGCCCAGAGACAGCCAGAGUUCCAGCGCCUAGCGCAGAGGCCGCACGACAGUCAGAGUGCCAGUGCCUAAGUGCCUACCGCAGAGGCCGCACGACAGCCAGAGUGCCAGCGCCUAAUUGUCUACCGCAGAGGCUGCACAACAGCCAGAGUGCCAGUGCCUAAGUGUCUACCGCAGAGGCCGCACGACAGCCAGAGUGCCCAUGUCUAAGUGCGUACCGCAGAGGCCGCACCGCAGCCAGAGUGCCAGCGCCUAAGUGCCUACCGUAGAGGCCGCAUGACAGCCAGAGUGCCAGUGCCUAAGUGCCUACCUCAGAGGCCGCACGGCAGCCAGAGUGCCAGCGCCUAAGUGCCUACCUCAGAGGCCGCACCGCAGCCAGAGUGCCAGCGCCUAAGUGUCUACCGCAGAGGCCACACGACAGCCAGAGUGCCAGUGCCUAAGUGUCUACCGCAGAGGCCACACGACAGCCAGAGUGCCAGUGCCUAAGUGUCUACCGCAGAGGCUGCACCGCAGCCAGAGUGCCAGUGCCUAAGUGCCUACCGCAGAGGCCACACGACAGCCAGAGUGCCAGUGCCUAAGUGUCUACCGCAGAGGCUGCACCGCAGCCAGAGUGCCAGUGCCUAAGUGCCUACCGCAGAGGCCGCACGACAGCCAGAGUGCCAGUGUCUAAGUGUCUACCGCAGAGGCUGCACCGCAGCCAGAGUGCCAGUGCCUAAGUGCCUACCGCAGAGGCCACACGACAGCCAGAGUGCCAGUGCCUAAGUGUCUACCGCAGAGGCUGCACCGCAGCCAGAGUGCCCGUGUCUAAGUGUCUACCGCAGAGGCCGCACGACAGCCAGAGUGCCAGUGUCUAAGUGUCUACUGCAGAGGCCGCACGGCAACUCAAGAAUGUUUUCUCACUUUGCUGCCCCAUCGAGGUCACGGGUCUUGAUGGAAUGUGAACCGGCAGUUUUCUCGGUGCUGACUAGCUCAGCAGCCAUGGCGAUGUUUCCUAAAUACAUUUGGAGAUGAGUGGAACACUCUUUGGGAGCAUUUUAGCAACAGAUAAAAUAAAUUAGCCAUGUGGAAAAUGAGCAAACUGGUAUCUGAAUCAGGGAUCCAUGUGCAGGCUCUGAGCAAUCUAAUGGAGAAAACCGCUGUGCCUCUGCCCAGAGUGGCCCCAAGCUCGAGAGUCACGCGAGGACACACAGGUAGGGUGGCCACGCACAGCAUGGUGAGCAAGGGGCGCUGAGGGUGACUCCGCAAGCCUUUGGAGGGAUUUCAAUCAAGGGAUUUCUCCUUCUCUGCAGGGGGCAAAUGAGAUGCAGAAUUCAAAGCACUUGUCCAUUUAAAGAGUGAAUGUAAGAUUUUAGUAAUACACAUAAGCAACUUCACUUUUAGGCCCCAAACCAGAGCUUGCAACAAAAUACCCAAUGCUACAUUAAGGUUGAAUUGAGGGAGGAGAUUUAAGCCAUUGAUAAAGGCCUGUGCCUGUGCUUUUUAGUUCCCCUACAACUUUUGAAGGAAAUGAGUUGUUUGGGGGCUGUAAAGGCAAGUUUUUUAAGAUUUUAGAAAAUAAUCUUCGUGGAGCCAAGAUGGCCGAAUAGGAACAGUUCCGGUCUCCAGCUCCCAGCCUGAGCGACACAGAAGACGGGUGAUUUCUGCAUUUCUGCUUGAGGUACCGGUUUCAUCUCACUAGGGAGUGCCAAACAGUGGGUGCAGGACAGUCGGUGAAGCGCACUGUGCGCGAGCCGAAGCAGGGCGAGGCAUUGCCUCACUCGGGAAGCGCAAGGGGUCAGGGAGUUCCCUUUCCUAGUCAAAGAAAGGGGUAACAGACGGCACCUGGAAUAUCGGGUCAGUCUCACCCUAAUACUGCGCUUUUCCAACGGGCCUGGAAAAUGGCACACUAGGAGAUUGUGUCCCACACCUGGUUCAGAGGGUCCUAUGCCCACGGAGUGAGUCUCGCUGAUUGCUAGCACGGCAGUCUGAGAUCAAGCUGCAAGGCAGCAGCGAGGCUGGGGGAGGGGCGCCUGCCAUUACCCAGGCUUGCUUAGGUAAACAAAGCAGCCAGGAAGCUUGAACUGGGUGGAGCCCACCACAGCUCAAGGAGGCCUGCCUGCCUCUGUAGGCUCCACCUCUGGGGGCAGGGCACAGACAAACAAAAAGCCAGCAGGAACCUCCUCAGAAUUAAAUGUCCCUGUCUGACUGACAGCUUUGAAGAGAGUAGUGGUUCUCCCAGCAUGCAGCUGGAGAUCUGAGAACGGACAGACUGCCUCCUAAAGUGGGUCCCUCACCCCUGAGCAGCCUAACUGGGAGGCACCCCCCCAGUAGGGACAGACUGACACCUCACUCGGCUGGGUACUCCUCUGAGACAAAACUUCCAGAGGAACUAUCAGACAGCUGAAUUUGUGGUCUCACGAAAAUCCGCUGUUCUGCAGCCACCGCUGCUGACACCCAGCCAAACAGGGUCUGGAGUGCACCUCUAGUAAACUCCAACAGACCUGCAGCUGAGGGUCCUGUCUGGUAGAAGGAAAACUAACAAACAGAAAGGACAUCCACACCAAAAACCCAUCUGUCCAUCACCAUCAUCAAAGACCAAAAGUAGAUAAAACCACAAAGAUGGGGAAAAAACAGAGCAGAAAAACUGGAAACUCUAAAAAGCAGAGCACCUCUCCUCCUCCAAAGGAACGCAGUUCCUCACCAGCAACGGAACAAAGCUGGAUGGAGGAUGACUUUGAUGAGUUGAGAGAAGAAGGCUUCAGACGAUCAAACUACUCUGAGCUACGGGAGGAAAUUCAAAACAAUAGCAAAGAAGUUAAAAACUUUGAAAAAAUAUUAGAAGAAUGGAUAACUAGAAUAACCAAUGGAGAGAAGGGCUUAAAGGAGCUGAUGGAGCUGAAAGCCAAGUUUUGAGAACUAGGCAAAGACUGCAGAAGCCUCAGUAGCAGAUGCGAUCAACUGGAAGAAAGGGUAUCACUGAUGGAAGAUGAAAUGAAUGAAAUGAAGCGAGAAGGGAAGUUUAGAGGAAAAAGAAUAAAAAGAAAUGAACAAAGUCUCCAAGAAAUCUGGGACUAUGCGAAAAGACCAAACCUACGUCUGAUUGGUGUACCUGAAAAUGAUGGGGAGAAUGGAACCAAGUCGGAAAACACUCUGGGGAAAUUCUCCUGGAUAAUAUCUUGCAAUCUAGCAAGGCAGGCCAACAUUCAGAUUCAGGAAAUACAGAGAACGCCACAAAGAUACUCCUCGAGAAGAGCAACUCCAAGACACAUAAUUGUCAGAUUCACCAAAGUUGAAAUGAAGGAAAAAAUGUUAAGGGCAGCCAGAGAGAAAGGUCAGGUUACCCACAAAGGGAAGCCCAUCAGACUAACAGCUGAUCUCUCGGCAGAAACUCUACAAGCCAGACGAGAGUGGGGGCCAAUAUUCAACAUUCUUAAAGAAAAGAAUUUUCAACCCAGAAUUUCAUGUCCAGCCAAACUAAGCUUCAUAAGUGAAGGAGAAAUAAAAUACUUUACAGACAAGCAAA